UACAGAGGGUGCGAGCGUUAAUCGGAUUUACUGGGCGUAAAGGGCGCGUAGGCGGGCAGGCGAGUGUGAUGUGAAAGCCCCGGGCUUAACCUGGGAAGUGCAUCGCAAACGGCCGGCCUGGAGUAUAUGAGAGGGUGGCGGAAUUUCCGGUGUAGCGGUGAAAUGCGUAGAGAUCGGAAGGAACGUCGAUGGCGAAGGCAGCCACCUGGCAUGAUACUGACGCUGAGGCGCGAAAGCGUGGGGAGCGAACAGG
rnacentral:rRNA from 1 species